UUAAAACAAAAAAAGCAUCUCCGUUUAUAUUCCAAGAACAAUCAAGAUUUUCUUUAAGAAGGUACUUUCCUCUCCUCAAAGUUUUUAUUUUAAGAACAGGGCAUUCAGAGGUGAGCUGGAUGUUUUGUCAUGUUUAUGAAGUCAUGAAAACAUCUGGAUACAGUAUGGAAACCCUCAACCAAAAACUUUUUGAAGUCUCUGUAAUGUAAUCAUCUGGGCUUACUCCACUAAACUAUGUAUUUAUUGGAUUUGGAUGGAAGAUGAGAUGUGAUGAUACCCACUCUGAUAAGAAUAGCUGUAUUAGAUGGGCCCAAGGGUCCAUCUUGCGCAGCAUCCUGUCUGCAGCUGUGGCCAUGAGUGGAUGCCUGGGAAAGAUGAAGUUCAAGGCCAAAAGAAGCUGGAAAAGAAAGGAGGAAUGCAAACAGAAAUAUACAAGAGUGUGACCAUUGUUGAUAGUGACUUUGUUCUUCAUGUUGGGAAGUUUUCUGCUGUCAGCCCACUUCAGGAUAGCCGGUGACACCUCGUGUUCCCUGCAUACACAAGCUGUUCACUGGGUGCAACACAAUGAGUGAGACCCUCAGUAACCAGAGAAACAGUGAUAGCAACGAAAUGGUGCCAGUUUAUACCAACUCAUCUUUGGUUCUAGGGCUGCUCAACUAUCUGGAUGAGAGGACUCACCACCUUGGAAUUAAAGCUGGGAAAUGCUUUUGGAAAAACAGAAGAUGUGCUGGAUGAGGAUAGUGUUGACCCUCUGGGCUGGCAGGUCACAGCUGAAAUUAACCAUGAGGUAUUUAACACUGAAGUGGAGGAGAAGGCUGAAAGACUAGGAGAGCAACUGCUUGAAAACUGAUGAGCCAAAUGUCUCUUUCCCAAGAGAAGGAUGCUUGGUGAAAUCCUCGGAGGAAGGAGCUGAUUUUACAGAAACAGAGGUGGCCCUAGGAGUUCGAGGGGCUGCUAGGACAGGCUGCUUGCCUACCUGCCUGCUGGAAGCCCUGCACCAGAGGCAGAGGCUGCUCCCUGGAGUAAAGCAGUUUCAGAUUGGUGCCACCAAGAUGCGCAUCUGCCUGACUGAUGAGGAGAGCUGCGCACAAGGGAACCUGCCUGUAUCCAACAGCGAUGACCUGUCCCGCUCCCUCUUCAUUCAACACGUUGUGGGAAGCCGUUUGCUGAUGCUGUUACACCCUUGUUUUCACCAGGAUGGGAAACUAGAGACAUAGGAAAAAUGAGAGUGAAAGCCGUACCGGUCACUAGGAUUGCAGAGCUGCCCACUUUUAAUGUACAGCUCACAGGUCUGGGGUCUGCCCUGAAAUCCCAGUUUGUGGGGAGUCGCCAGUCCUCCUGGGGAAGGAUUCACAGUGACAGCUUCUUUGACCUUUGCCCACUAGGAUAUGGUAAAAUUGAGACACUCGCAUCUCAGAUGAGGUUCCCAGCAGAACACUGGAGCGCUUUCACCCCAGGUUUGGAAGCUAAUUUUCGCUGACUUUGGAAGACAGCGGAGCGGCAGCUAAUGGAAACUCGAACGUCUUUCUCUCUCCCCUGUCUGCUCCUCCGUCUCAGCAGCAAUCGAGAUAAAGGCUCAGCUGCUUCAAGUUUAUCUGCAUCUAUGCUGAAGUACUUGGAUACAGUCCUAAUUUCCAGGAACACCUGGCGUGGAAGACAUCCUUUUCUUUAAACUCUUGACCUUGCAAUGUCAACACUCGCAGUGUAGGGCAUUGCUUUGGCGUGGCAUCGCUGGAAAACCCGCUUUAACUGAAAGAAGCUAGGCAGGUACAUGUAUACAUCUAUAUACUUUCAGACUGGCUUCUUUUACUGAUGUAAUAAAUUUAAU